GACGAACGCUGGCGGCGUGCCUAACACAUGCAAGUCAACUUGACGGAAGGAGCAAUCUGACCGUAGAGUGGCGCAAGGGUGCGUAACGCGUAAGUAACUUGCCCCAAGGUAAGGAAUAACGUCGAGAAAUCGGCGCUAAUACCUCAUAAUGCAGCGGAUCCGCAUGGAUAUGUUGUUAAAGGUUUACCGCCUUGGGAUAGGCUUGCGUCUGAUUAGCUAGUUGGUGUGGUAACGGCACACCAAGGCUACGAUCAGUAACUGGUCUGAGAGGAUGAUCAGUCACACUGGAACUGAGACACGGUCCAGACUCCUACGGGAGGCAGCAGUGAGGAAUAUUGGGCAAUGCUCGAAAGAGUGACCCAGCAACGCCGACGUGGAGGAUGAAGGUAUUCUAUAUCGUAAACUCCUGUGAGAGCAGACGAAGACAGAUUAUAAUCUGGAUGACUGUAUGCUCAGAGGAAGCCCGGCUAACUACGUGACC
rnacentral:rRNA from 1 species